CUUAGUGGCGGACGGGUGAGUAACGCGUGGGGAACCUGCCCUGUACAGGGGAAUAACACUUAGAAAUAGGUGCUAAUACCGCAUAAGCGCACAGUAUCGCAUGAUACAGUGUGAAAAACUCCGGUGGUACAGGAUGGACCCGCGUCUGAUUAGCUGGUUGGCGGGGUAACGGCCCACCAAGGCGACGAUCAGUAGCCGGCCUGAGAGGGUGAACGGCCACAUUGGGACUGAGACACGGCCCAAACUCCUACGGGAGGCAGCAG
rnacentral:rRNA from 1 species